AAGUGUGUAGUGAUUUUACAAAUACAUUUAGCUCUGUCAGGAAACUGAACAGACAGGCAAGAUGGAACACGCAUCCACACCCGACACACCCACAUCCUGUUUGAUCACCUGAUUAAGCUGAUAAAUACCCAACAGUACUCCCAAGUGAACAACACGUUAUGGAAAUUUUUGACAUAAACUGGUGUUCAAAGAUUAUCCUUUUCAGUAGAGUCACAUCUAGAACUUAUCCGGGCGUUUUAAUACAAACAUUUGCGGAGUUGGAGCGUGAUGAGGGAUAAUGAAGAUGAAAACCAACAUUUUGGCAUUAAAGUAAAAGUUGAGGAAAAUGUCAAAGAAAAAUGUGUCAUUAUAACAAUGAAGUACGGAAAAAAAACAAAAGAAAUUCAUAUUUCUACACUUAGCCUAAAGGAGAAAUUCUCGAAAGAGAAGAGAGCCUUAUUAGACUUUAUAGGUCCUUUUAAUGAAAAUACUGUAUUUAAAAAAAUUACUUUCCAAAAACCAAAUAACACAUUUGAAAGUAACUAUGUGAUUUACAUCACUAGUUUCUAUGAUUAUGUCAACGUAAUUGAGUAUUUCUGGAAAAAUAAGGAAAAAAUACAAAAUAUAACGGACCCAAUUUAUAUAAUAUCAGGGUGUUAUAUUUCUUUAAUAGAUAGGAAUGAUUUCUACAUUAAAACUGAGCUCAGAAUUAAUGAUAACGAUAUUGAACUUGCAAUUCAGGAAGGCAAACUUAAUGUAUCUGAUAUUGUAAUUAAAGGAAAACAUUUAAAUCAUGUCCCAUAUAGUACAUUAGAUAAUAAGGUAUCGAUGAACCUAGAUUUCUGUCUUGCUCUCACUGAUAUAAUCUUUGGAAAUCAAGAAAAACUUCUUUGUAUAAAUAAUAGUUUUGACAUCACUGCUUUAGUUGCGGUAUUAUUUUCAGAGGUAAUCAGAAAUCCAGGGAUGAUAUUUAUUAACCUAAUUGCAAUGACAAUGGAUUCCUUAAAUACUUGGAAAGACUUCCGCCAGAUUAUGCCACCUUUAGUUGGGGGAACCUGGGAAAAUAAACAGGAGUACUGUUCCAAAUUUAUGAAACGACUAAACCUAUUUUUUUCAAAAACAUUUUCUGAAACAUUUUCUGAAAUUAUUUGAACAUGGAAAUUCUUUGAUUAAUUGAAUUUAUUUUAAAAAGUUGUCCUUCAUGGAAGGGGCGGGUGGUGGAGGGUCCAAAUAAAACAAAAUAAAACAUCCCAAAAUGUUAUAAAAUAUCAACAAAUUCAUCUUCAUUAUCCCCCACGUUGUUCCACCUCCGCUUCUGGGAGGAGCCAGGCGGGGCCACAGAGCGGACUCCCCCAUCUCAUCCCACCAACUCUGUCAGUCCAGCAGGCCCCACAAUGCAGCCUCCACACCACUGCAGUAACAGCCACAUCUUCCCAUCACAAUGCUUCAGUACUAUCUCAAUGUGUUGAAGUACCAUCCAGGAUCCUGUGUUAACGUCAAUGUGAAACAGCAUUGACCCGUGAUCACCACCAACCAGGGCUCCACAGCGGACUUACAACACAUUGAGAUAGUACUGAAGCUUUGUGAUGGGAAGAUGUGGCUGUUACUGCAGUGGUGUGGAGGCUGCAUUGUGGGGCCU
rnacentral:lncRNA from 1 species